AGGGGGGGCGGCCUAACACAUGCAAGUCGAACGGUAGCACAGAGAGCUUGCUCUCGGGUGACGAGUGGCGGACGGGUGAGUAAUGUCUGGGAAACUGCCUGAUGGAGGGGGAUAACUACUGGAAACGGUAGCUAAUACCGCAUAACGUCGCAAGACCAAAGAGGGGGACCUUCGGGCCUCUUGCCAUCAGAUGUGCCCAGAUGGGAUUAGCUAGUAGGUGGGGUAACGGCUCACCUAGGCGACGAUCCCUAGCUGGUCUGAGAGGAUGACCAGCCACACUGGAACUGAGACACGGUCCAGACUCCUACGGGAGGCAGCAGUGGGGAAUAUUGCACAAUGGGCGCAAGCCUGAUGCAGCCAUGCCGCGUGUAUGAAGAAGGCCUUCGGGUUGUAAAGUACUUUCAGCGGGGAGGAAGGCGAUAAGGUUAAUAACCUUGUUCAUUGACGUUACCCGCAGAAGAAGCACCGGCUAACUCCGUGCCAGCAGCCGCGGUAAUACGGAGGGUGCAAGCGUUAAUCGGAAUUACUGGGCGUAAAGCGCACGCAGGCGGUCUGUCAAGUCGGAUGUGAAAUCCCCGGGCUCAACCUGGGAACUGCAUUCGAAAACUGGCAGGCUGGAGUCUUGUAGAGGGGGGUAGAAUUCCUGGUGUACCGGUGAAAAUGCGUAGAGAUCUGGAGGAAUACCGGUGGCGAAGGCGGCCCCCCUGUAACAAAAACUGACA
rnacentral:rRNA from 1 species